CAUCUGAAUAAUAUUGUUUUUCCUUUCUUUUCUCUAACACUAGUUAAAUCUAGAAAUAAGUUGGAAAAUCCUACAACCACAUAAUCGCGGCGUACUCUGUAUAGGAUUCAUCAGAGAGCACGACUCCUCCAUAGUCAUCUCUAUUUCAAUAGCAGCUCAACAGAAACUCUGUAGGUGUUUGAAGACAGAAAUAAAGAAGUAAAAGAACCCAGAUAGCAAAUACUUGGGUCUUGAUCUCAGGUGUCAUUUGGCAUAAGAAGGGGUUCUGGUCUUCUGGAGAUGCAGCAGACAAAGGGGAAGAUGAAGAGAACGGGAAGAUGCAGAAAUAAAUAAUAAAUCUGGAGUGUGUUUCUUUGUUCAAUCAUGUCAUUUUUGUUUGUAUAUUUAUUGGGAGAGGUAUUGGCAUUCAUCCCCCUCUUCCUCCUUGUAUCAUUUCUGGAAUAUGUUGAGAAUUUUACUGAUUAAUUACUGUUAUUGGUUGUUCUUCAAA